AGAGUUUGAUCCUGGCUCAGGACGAACGCUGGCGGCGUGCUUAACACAUGCAAGUCGAGCGGAAAGGCCCUUCGGGGUACUCGAGCGGCGAACGGGUGAGUAACACGUGAGUAACCUGCCCUGGACUUUGGGAUAACCCUCGGAAACGGGGGCUAAUACCGAAUAUGACAUUCCACCGCAUGGUGUGUUUGUGAAAAGUUUUUCGGUCUGGGAUGGGCUCGCGGCCUAUCAGCUUGUUGGUGGGGUGAUGGCUUACCAAGGCGACGACGGGUAGCCGGCCUGAGAGGGCGACCGGCCACACUGGGACUGAGACACGGCCCAGACUCCUACGGGAGGCAGCAGUGGGGAAUAUUGCACAAUGGGCGGAAGCCUGAUGCAGCGACGCCGCGUGAGGGAUGACGGCCUUCGGGUUGUAAACCUCUUUCAGCAGGGACGAAGCGCAAGUGACGGUACCUGCAGAAGAAGCGCCGGCCAACUACGUGCCAGCAGCCGCGGUAAGACGUAGGGCGCGAGCGUUGUCCGGAUUUAUUGGGCGUAAAGAGCUCGUAGGCGGCUUGUCGCGUCGACUGUGAAAACCCGCGGCUCAACCGCGGGCCUGCAGCCGAUACGGGCAGGCUAGAGUUCGGUAGGGGAGACUGGAAUUCCUGGUGUAGCGGUGAAAUGCGCAGAUAUCAGGAGGAACACCGAUGGCGAAGGCAGGUCUCUGGGCCGAUACUGACGCUGAGGAGCGAAAGCGUGGGGAGCGAACAGGAUUAGAUACCCUAGUAGUCC
rnacentral:rRNA from 1 species